UAUGCCUCAAUUUGUAGUGAGCACACUACUAAAGAAACUAUUUCAAAAGGCUUUAAUGCCUCAUUCGGAAGAGACAUAGUACUGAAAACAUAUACUUCAGAUUUCUGUUUUCUUCUUGGAUAAACCGCAAGAAAGAGCGGAGAUUGGAGAGGUAAGAGGAGGGAGCAAAGGCAACCAGAAGAAAGGGCCCUCUUUCCCUGCAAAGGGUGUAAAGCAUUCAUGGAUGCUGCUCUCAGAUAGCUCUUCUGGUCUGAUUGAUUCAACUGGUGUACGUAGAAUACAGGAGCAGUCC